rnacentral:rRNA from 1 species
UACGGCGAGUGAAGCGGCAAAAGCUCAAAUUUUAAAGCUGACAUCUUCGGUGUCCGCGUUGUAAUUUUGUGAGGCAUCUCCGGGUAGGGCGCCGGCCUAAGUUCCUUGGAACAGGACGUCACAGAGGGUGAGAAUCCCGUGCUUGGCUGGCUGUCCCCGUCCAUGUGAGGUGUCUUCGACGAGUCGAGUUGUUUGGGAAUGCAGCUCAAAAUGGGUGGUAAAUUUCAUCUAAAGCUAAAUAUUGGUGGGAGACCGAUAGCGCACAAGUAGAGUGAUCGAAAGAUGAAAAGCACUUUGAAAAUAGAGUUAAAAAGUACGUGAAAUUGUUGAAAGGGAAGCGCUUGAGACCAGACUUCGGUAAGGGGUGAUCAGCCGUCCUUUUGGGCGGUGCACUUGCCCCCCUCCGGGCCAGCAUCGGUUGAGGCGGCGGGAUAAAGGUCCCGGGAAUGUGGCUCCUUCACGGGAGUGUUAUAGCCCGGGUGAAUGCCGCCAGCUUCGACCGAGGACCGCACCCGCAAGGGUUAGGAUGCUUGGCAUAAUGGUCUUCAGCGACCCGUCUUGAACC